UACGAGGUAGUAUAAUUUAGUACGGAGAGUUUUGGUCUCUUUGGAGAAGGUGAGCUUCCUUCCUUCGUAG
rnacentral:tRNA from 1 species